rnacentral:lncRNA from 1 species
GGGCGGGUCCCGCUGCUGCCGCCGGGUGUCGCUGUGGCUCCUCCCCCCCGCGGCCCUUCCGCCCGCCUUCCGCCGUGGGGCCCUCGUCCCUUCCUUUCUCUCCCUCUCCCCCGUCUUCCUCCCCAUUUCCUCUCCCGCUUGCCCUGGUCUCCAGUGCGUUCCCCUCCGUGCGGUCCCCGUAUCUCCUGUCUGUGCUUCCGUGUGUUCCUCUGCGUGCGCUGUCCCCUCCGGUGCCCCGAGCUGAGGAGUCCCGGCCCCUUCUUGGGUGUCCCGGUCCUUUCUGUGCGCGUGCUCUCCUGCCCCGCACACCUUCGGGUGUGCUUUGCGCCCACCUGGUUCCUCCCGUGCUUGCUCUGGCCCCACUGUUCUCAUGCGGGGUCGGGCCUUUGGAGCCCCAGCCUGCUGGGGUUCCCUCUAUGGGUGGUCUGUCGCCCUUUCUCAUCUGUCCCAUCCGCUCGAGUUGAUUUGGGCAGGAGCUGUUCCUCACCUUGCCUGUUCUUAGGUGCUGUGCUCCACUCCUGUUGGCUCUGCACUGCUGGCCUCCAUCCCCCUGGGCUCUCUUACCCACUUCAUUCCCAUCUGUUAGAGCUUGGUUCACAUUCCUCCUCUCCAUUCCCCUCCCUCUUCCCCUCUGUGUUCACUCUGAUCGGCUCUGUCUUGUCUCCCUGGCUUGUUCAUGCUGGUCUCCUCUGUUCACCACUAUGUUGCCUCCGUUCCCAUCCAUCCCUCUCUGUGUGGGAAGGGAGCGGGGUGCACAUGGAGAGGCAGGGAGGUGACUGGAGCACACAAGUGGAAUGGCACACAGAUGAGGGAGAAUGUAGUGGCUCAGUGUGCGUAACCGGGAAUGGGGGAGCCGCAGCUCAUGGGGGAAAAUGGAGGGGAUCAGAGAGCACAAAAAUGGGCACAGAAGGAACAAGUUCACACCUAAGAGCAUGCCUGGCGAUGGGGGGGCAGUAGAUCAGAGCGCACAGGAAGGUCCCCCUUCCUUCUCCAGCUCUAGCGUCCCCCAUUGGGUCCUCUGUGGUAUGUCUGGGUGUGGGGGUAUGUGGGGUGUCCCUGAGGCAGUGCAGAUGUUUUGGUGUGGACAAUGUGAUGCCACGGAGCCUGUCCAUGUGCCCAGAUUCCUGGAGGUGUGGGAUGGGAGGUGUGGGACCCAACGGGGUGCCUGGCAGGAAACAGUCUGCCCUCCCACGCAGCGUGUUCCAGGAGCCACCCGCGUCUCCCUCUUCAAACAGAGGCAGGAGCAAGCAGCAUUAGCAGAACAGCAGGCUGUGCUGGAGAAAAGCGCCCGGCCUCGGGAAAAGAUCCGAAUUUUAAAGAAGCCACUCCACCCUGACCAGCGCUGUUGCCCAGACACAGGCAUGCCACCCGAAAAGCAUCUGUUGCCAUGAGCAAAGCAGAACAUGCAGCUCACGGCAUCCUACAAAGUUCUUCGGAACAGCUGGAAGGAAAAAGUGGAGCAAAACUGCCAGAGGCUGAAGCAGGAGGAGGAGGAUCGCCGGUAAAGAGCUCCCAACCCAGGCAGAGUCCCCGCUCCUGCAAAGCCCUUCGUGCCAUGGCCUGGGGGAAAGAGGGUCUUUUCCUGCCCCCUGCCCCAGGUCACACAAGUGGCUUUGGAGCUUGGCCUGGGCCUGGCCUGGACCUGGGUCAAGCAUCCCUUCCACUGAAAUGGGGUGGGGGGCUGGGAUGCGCCAUCGGAUUUCCAGAAGGCACCUAAAUGUCACGAGUGGCUCAGCAUCUUUCUCCUGAACCCCUCAGGGCUUUGGUGAUGUGCAGCCUCCAGAACAAAGAGCAGUGGGACCACAGGCUGGGCAGCUACAAGAGAAAUGUGUUUUUCCCACGGAAAUAAACUGCCUUUCCG